rnacentral:rRNA from 1 species
ACCUUAUAUGUAAUCACAGCAGUCAGGCGGCGAGUGAUAAAAUCCGUCGUCAAGAGGGAAACAACCCAGACUACCAGCUAAGGUCCCUAAAUCUUACUUAAGUGGAAAACGAUGUGAAGUUACUUAAACAACCAGGAGGUUGGCUUAGAAGCAGCCAUCCUUUAAAGAAAGCGUAAUAGCUCACUGGUCUAGUGAUUUUGCGCGGAAAAUAUAACGGGGCUAAAGUAAGUACCGAAGCUGUAGACUUAGUUUACUAAGUGGUAGGAGAGCGUUCUAUUUGCGUCGAAGGUAUACCGGUAAGGAGUGCUGGAGCGAAUAGAAGUGAGCAUGCAGGCAUGAGUAGCGAUAAUUAAUGUGAGAAUCAUUAACGCCGUAAACCCAAGGUUUCCUACGCGAUGCUCGUCAUCGUAGGGUUAGUCGGGUCCUAAGUCGAGUCCGAAAGGGGUAGACGAUGGCAAAUUGGUUAAUAUUCCAAUACCAACAUUAGUGUGCGAUGGAAGGA